rnacentral:tRNA from 1 species
GCGCCGGUGGUGUAAGGCGAACAUCGCUGCCCGGAAAGCAGAAGAUGCGGGUUCGAGUCCGCCUGGCGCA